rnacentral:rRNA from 1 species
GACGAACGCUGGCGGCGUGCUUAACACAUGCAAGUCGAACGAUGAAGGAGAGCUUGCUCUCCGGAUUAGUGGCGAACGGGUGAGUAACACGUGACUAGCCUGCCCCUUUCUCUGGGAUAACGCUCCGAAAGGAGUGCUAAUACCGGAUACAAACUCUGAACACAUGUUCGGAGUUGGAAAGUUUUUCGGAAAGGGAUGGAGUCGCGGCCUAUCAGCUUGUUGGUGAGGUAACGGCUCACCAAGGCGACGACGGGUAGCCGGCCUGAGAGGGCGACCGGCCACACUGGGACUGAGACACGGCCCAGACUCCUACGGGAGGCAGCAGUGGGGAAUAUUGCACAAUGGGCGAAAGCCUGAUGCAGCGACGCCGCGUGAGGGAUGAAGGUCUUCGGAUUGUAAACCUCUUUCAGUAGGGACGAAGCGAAAGUGACGGUACCUAAAGAAGAAGCACCGGCUAACUACGUGCCAGCCGCCGCCGUAA